AGCGAACGCUGGCGGCAGGCCUAACACAUGCAAGUCGAACGGAUCCUUCGGGAUUAGUGGCGGACGGGUGAGUAACACGUGGGAACGUGCCCUUUGGUUCGGAACAACUCAGGGAAACUUGAGCUAAUACCGGAUGUGCCCUUCGGGGGAAAGAUUUAUCGCCAUUGGAGCGGCCCGCGUCUGAUUAGCUAGUUGGUGAGGUAAAGGCUCACCAAGGCGACGAUCAGUAGCUGGUCUGAGAGGAUGAUCAGCCACAUUGGGACUGAGACACGGACCAAACUCCUACGGGAGGCAGCAGUGGGGAAUCUUGCGCAAUGGGCGAAAGCCUGACGCAGCCAUGCCGCGUGAAUGAUGAAGGUCUUAGGAUUGUAAAAUUCUUUCACCGGGGACGAUAAUGACGGUACCCGGAGAAGAAGCCCCGGCUAACUUCGUGCCAGCCGCCGCCGUAACAC
rnacentral:rRNA from 1 species